AGUGAACGCUGGCGGUAGGCCUAACACAUGCAAGUCGAACGGCAGCACAGUAAGAGCUUGCUCUUACGGGUGGCGAGUGGCGGACGGGUGAGGAAUACAUCGGAAUCUACUUUUUCGUGGGGGAUAACGUAGGGAAACUUACGCUAAUACCGCAUACGACCUACGGGUGAAAGCAGUGGAUCUUCGGACCUUGCGCGAUUGAAUGAGCCGAUGUGGGAUUAGCUAGUUGGCGGGGUAAAGGCCCACCAAGGCGACGAUCCGUAGCUGGACUGAGAGGAUGAUCAGCCACACUGGAACUGAGACACGGUCCAGACUCCUACGGGAGGCAGCAGUGGGGAAUAUUAGACAAUGGGCGCAAGCCUGAUCCAGCCAUACCGCGUGGGUGAAGAAGGCGUUCGGGUUGUAAAGCCCUUUUGUUGGGAAAGAAAAGCAGCAGGUUAAGACCCCGCUGUUCUGACGGUACCCGAAGAAUAAGCACCGGCUAACUUCGUG
rnacentral:rRNA from 1 species